UUUUUUUUUUUUUUUUUUGGUUUGUGCUAUCUUCAGAACAAUUUGUUUCACCAAAAUGAGCACAGCACCUGGACCUUUGUCUCCAAAAUUUAUUCCUGUUGAAACAAGUGAAAUUAUUUCAGUAAGUAAAUCAGAUGGUAAGUAAAUUAUUUUAACUUUCUUUUUCGUGCUUGUAUGCUUUUGUAAUACAUCUGGAUUUAGUGUUGUACUCUUUGUCUUUUGUUGCAGGUUUUAGGUUCAGUUUUGUAUCCUAUAACAUUUUGGCUCAGGUAAUCAGACUUACGUGUUCAAAUUACUUGAAGCGAUUCACUUUUAUUCUUUUUAUAAAGUACACGCAGGUAAUAUUUCAGUUAUGGAAGUUAAGUGCUGCUUUCUUAAAUUAUUUAGCAUCCUUAUGGUUAAUACACUAUAAAAUACUUUUGACUUUGAAAACCAAGUGAACAGAGUAUUUAUUCAUCAACCAAAUUAAUCUUGUGAGUCUAUUCUUGUGAAAUUUGUGAACAUAGCUCAGAGAGUGAUCUGAUCCAAACAAAAAGAAUUUGAGGCCUUCCUCCGCUCGCGUGUGGUUGGACCAUAAUAUUAAGUAGAGCAUACAUAUCUGGUAGGAUGGAUGCACACAUUUGAUGUUAAUUAAUCAAGUAUACUGACAUCCUUGGUAUGUCUUGAUUUGUAUUUUGAACUAUAGUGCGAAAUUCAAGUGAUAUUAUCUCAUACCUCGACACUUGUAUUCUGAAAUGCUAGUCUGUUUUAGUUGUUCUUACGGAUUCAAGUCAUUUAACCUGUUGGCCUGUAUGGAUUCUGUUUGCCAAUGUUUCAUGCUAUUGCGUUUUUUAAAUCGUAGGCAUAUGUAAAGAGUGCUCUGUUUCCACACUCCCCAGCGCCUUGUCUCAAGUACGUCAUCUAUAUCCAAGUUUUCCUUUUUGCAUUUCCUAUUCACAGUCUAUUGGAUAUUGUUUCGCUUCUCCCAUGGAAACUCCAAUGUGAUUGAUGUCAUGUUAGAGUGGACCCAAAUUGACUUGUUUAUAGUGCAUUCCUCUACGAAAAAUAGCUAAAACUCCGAUCUGAUUGCUUCAUGUUGCAUUACAUUAUUAUAUUCCUAGCCUUCAAGCAGAGGCGGAUGCAACAUUGCUGCACCAUGUUCAUUUGAACCUAGUACUUUCGACGCGGAGCAUAAAUUUAUGCAUAAAAAUUCACUAAAAUUAUAAUAAAUAGUAAAUUUGAACCCAUAAUUUUAGAAAUACAAUGGUUUUGGUUCUAAGAAUCUUAAAGGUUGAACACAUAUAACUCAACUCCUGGAUUCUCCUAUGCCUUCAAGACUAUCCGAGAAAGGCUUCGAGACUUGGAGUCAAGAGCAUAUGACUUGUAUUGGAUUUCAGUAAUUCUCUAAGCUAGUCUCAAUUGAAAGAUACAUAGUUGUUUAAGUCAAUUUUACUUGUUUGCUCUUCUACUAUUCGAAGAACAUCUAAUGUAAAAUUUCUUUUAAAAGCAUUGUAACUUGAAGUCAUGUUGACAAUGAUUCAAUAAGCUUCGGUUGAGACAAAGUUUUAAACUUCUUUCUUUUACUAAAAAUUUCUGAAUCAACAUAUCUUAUGUGCUUGUGUCAGGUGGAAAGCCCGUUCACAGGCAAUACUGACAGUUCUCAAGAGCCUCGGGGCCGAUUUCCUUUGCUUACAGGUUUUAAUUGUUUGAUAAUUAAGAUUGAGCAACAUCUGUUCAUCCAUUUUCCUUCUCCCAACAACUUCUAAUUUCUUCUAGGUUAUCUUUUAAUCAAUUGUUUUAUGUGCCAGGAAUUGGAUGAAUAUGAUAGCUUCUAUAAAAGAAAUAUAGAGAGUGUUGGUUAUUCAAGUAUCUACGCCCAAAGAAGUGGGCAGAAGCGUGACGGAUGCGGGAUCUUUUAUAAGCAGGAUUGGUGAUCUAAGCUCUCUUUUCUUAACCUCUAUAAUUAAAAGAAAUGCUAAGCUAAGCGAUGAGAUGAUUUGCAUUAUUUGAGGAGACUUGCUGGUCAUAUUAUAAACCAUUGUUUUUGACAGUUCCAUGACAUGAUCAUGCACUGCUUUCCAGCUAAGAAAAUAAGCUGAUUAGGUAUAUGUUCUUUUAAAUAAAGCUUUGAUGUUAUAUCCUGGAAACUUCAAGGGAGCCAAUAUAUGAGUAAUACUGCAAAUAACUACAUUUUAUUUCACGUCAUUUCCUCUUACUCCCACCACCCCAAUAGCUUAAGUUACUCCCUAGUCUGUAUCAUGCUAAAGCUAUAUCGUAGCAUCAGUUAAGGACUGAGGAAGUUCUAUAUCAGAAGUUCUUAUGGUUUGGAUGGAUAUGCUUCUAUAACUUCUUCAGGGAGAAUAAAAUAUUUCUGUAAAACUCAUUUUAUCUGAAAUUCUAUGCUAUUCUAAUAGUGCAGAGUUGGUCAUUGAAGAGAAGAUAGACUACAAUGAUCUUGUACCCUCAAUUCAAGAUGAUACUGCUUCUGUGGAUAAAGAGGCAAAUUUACCUGCUGGUGGAAGUAAAAAGUUAGAGUCAAAAGGUGGUAUUCCCUUGCUUUUGCUCACCUCGUGUUUGUCUUUACACGUUUGGAGCAUGCUCUGGUAAAACAUUGUCACAAAACAUGUCUUUACACUGUAAACUGCUAAAAUAAAAUCUCUGUCCAACGUCAUUCUAAUGAAAUUGCAAAUUAAAGCGAUUCCUCUUCUUCCUAUCUCUUUUUGUCUUUUUUCUUUUGGGGGUGGAUGUGGGCUGGUUUAGUACUGCAGUUAUAGCUAUUUGCCUUCAAACAAUUGAUGUAUGUUUAACUUUCAUGCCUAAGGCUUUUUAUCAUAAUAAAAGAGGCGGAAAGAAUUUGAAUUGCCUAGUUGCAAUAAGAUCCAAAGAUUCUUGUACAAUUAUAAUUAAAAGUUUUCUAUUUAUGGAACCGGGUCUCUUGAUUCUUGAAAAGCUGAAAUAGUACUUAUUACCUUCAGAAACUCAAUAAUGGAAUACCGUUGGAACUUGAAAGUUGACCUGUCAUUGUUUGUGUUGAAUUGUGUAACCAUCUCAUCUAAAAGCUUAAGCUGUUAGAGAGAACACACUUUUAUUUAUUUAAUUAUGUCUUCAACACGCCCCUUCGCGUGCGGGCUUGAUUCUUUUUUUAUGAGCCAGGCAUGUGGAAAUUCUUUUUCAUAUUGGGUGGCGGUGAGACUCGAACUCAGGACCUCUGCCUGCUCUAAUACCACGUUGAAAUGUGUGACUAUCUCAUCUAAAAGCUUAAGCUGUUAGAGAACACACUUUUAUUUAUUUAAUUAUGUCUUCAACAGUCUGCCUCUAAUUUAAUGUAGCGACUCAAUCUCUAUCAACUAAUAGAAACUUCAUAGCAAGCUCUGAUGUAUCAUGUAACUUGUUAUCAGAGCAAUAUAAGUGAGGCUUUCAUAUCCUAUUCAGAAACCUUGAUUGGCAUUUGCAUCCAUUUUUAUCUUCUUUCUUAAUUGUUAAAAUAAUUAAAACCUUUUGUGUUUGAUCAUACGUUAAAGUAAGUUUUGGUAGCAACAGGCGAUUUGUGACGGAAGAGUCAUAUUUAUGUUUGACUUGAGGGUUUUGUAAGGAAAGAUGCCCAUGGUAAAAGAAGCAUCCAUGGCUGAAACCAGCACCAAUAGUGUGUGAUUUGGUUUUUGGAAUGGCCAAAUUCUGGUGCAUUGUGUAGCAUGGGGAUCUUGCUAGUUGCCACGGCAAAUUAUCUAGUUACUAGCAAUUGUAGAUUCUGAGUAUCUGUUGCAUGGAUAGCCUUUUCCAUCCUAAUGUGCCCCUGCGUCAUAUUUUUUCAACUCUCGGCAGUAUGAAGAAUCAAUAUUGGACCUAAAGCAGCAGUGCAUUUUCGAAUAGGCUCUGAAGGAAACUUCAUAGUCAAACAGAAUCAGCUCUUUCAAAAUCAAAUGACUUGAAAUUUUGAAACUUAAAAGGGGGAGUUUUUUACACAUCUCAUUUUAGAGAGGUGAAUAUUGGACCUAAAGCAGCAGUGCAUUUUCGAAUAGGCUCUGAAGGAAACUUCAUAGUCAAACAGAAUCAGCUCUUUCAAAAUCAAAUGACUUGAAAUUUUGAAACUUAAAAGGGUUUUUUUUUUACACAUCUCAUUUUAGAGAGGUGAAUAAGGUGUUGUGAGGUGAUAGGGAACGGAUUCAUCGUUGCUCCUCAAUGCACAAAUUUGGUGGGAAUGGGUGCUUUAAGCUUCAUAAUCCAAUAACCUUUGUAACUGUGAUCUUUCUCAUUCCAAUUUCAGAUGUCAGUUUGAAAAACAGUCGAGCAGAUCGUGGAGACCUAAAUGAUCCUCGUGUUAGAUUAAAACGUGACUGUGUGGGUAUUAUGGCUGCCUUCAGGCUGAAGGAUCCUUGUCAGCUUAUCAUUGUCUCCAACACUCACAUUUACUGGUAUGCCCAUUAUCCAAUCUUUUGGUAUUGCAGCACGUUUACUUGGAUUUGUGGAAACUGGAUUUUUAAUUUCUUAACUUUAUACACUGUUAGCAUAUAUUAAUGAUACUACAGGGAUCCAGAAUUGGCCGAUGUCAAACUUGCACAAGCUAGAUACUUGCUUUCACGCUUGGCUCAAUUCAAGUUACUAGUAUCAGACAAAUUUGAUUGCUCGCCUUCUAUGGUUGUUGCCGGUGAUUUCAACUCCACUCCUGGGGAUCAGGUCAGCUAGUCUACCGUUUUCCUUUCGAAAACAUUUGGUCCUUUCGCAUUUUUAUUGAACGACACUGACUUACUCUAUAUAAGCUGCAUUCAUUUUAUUUGAUUUCCUCAUAUCUUUUUAGUAGGGAUUCUUUUUCCAGUUAAGAAAAUUGACCUUGAGCCUAACUCAAUCUCAAAAGUUAACUCUUGAGGUGAGGAUUAUCCAACGUCAAUGUGGAGACAACAAUGAAUUUCCUCACUCAAUUUGGGACACUCUAACACCCUCCUUAUGCAUAGACAUACUGGAGAGUGGACAACAUACCAUAACAUUAAGAAACAAAAUAUGAUAGAUGGGUUUGGCUCUGCUACCAUGUAAAGAAAAAUAGAUCUUGGGCCAAAGUCAACUCCAAAAACUAACUCAUGAGAUGAGGAUUCCAAGAACCGUAUAAGGAGACAACAACCCACUGUCAACCAGUGUUGUAAAGAGCGUGAAGCGAGGAAAGUCGACAAGCCCCUGUUCGCUUAAAGCGUGAAGUGAGAAGCGAAGAGCUCGCUUUUUUGAAGUGAAGCAGAAUUUUUAAAAAAAUAUUAAAAUAAAUAUUGAAACAAAAAAAAAGGCAGUAAGAACUAAGAAGAACUGAAACAAAAAAGAAGGCAGUAAGUAAGAAAAAUAUUGGGCAGCAUUUCGCUGCAAUUUAAGACUGAAACAGUGAAAGAAGAAGAGGAGAAUGAGAAAAGAACUGAAGGAAAAAUAAAAAAAUUUGGCAGCAUUUCCCUGCUAUUUUGAGGCUGAAACAGUGAAAGAAAAUGAAAAAGAAGAAGAAGAAGAAGAAGAAGAAGAAGAAGAAGAAGAAGAAGAAGAAGAAGAAGAAGAAGAAGGAGAAGGAGGAAAAAGAAAUCACAUACCUGGGCUUGAACUUAAUGAAAUUGAACUUGAAAAGUGCUGAAAAAGGGAACUCUGGUCGUUGUUUUUCUCUGCUGCUAGAUGAUGUUUUGAAAAAAGACAGUUUUUUUAUUUAAUUAACGUUGGCAGCCACUUAAUAUAAUGAAGUGCUUGCUACUGUCGCCUCUUGCUUUAGUCGCGCUUCUCGCUUUUUUGGCAGAAGCGCACUUCAUAUCACCUGCUACGCUUCACAACACAGAAGCGACCAUGUGCCCGCCUCGCUUCGCGCUUUAAGCGCUGAAGCGAGCGCUUUUCACAACACUACUGUCAACCAAUGUGAGAAUUCGUAUUACAGUUUGUCUAGCUUCUGGCUCUCCAGACUUCAUAAAUGAUUGAGAUGUCCUAAACUUAUCCAACUUUCAAAAGUUGGUACCUAGUUUGUCUAACUUGUCUACAUUAGACUAUUAGUCAGUAGUCAUGUCAACUUGGAAUACACACGCGAACUACUUUCUCUUGUCGUCUUGAUAUUCGAGCAGAGUCUCAUUUUUGGUUUACUUUGAUGUUUGGUGUCCAAGUAGAGUCACUUCAACUUUUGGAUUCAGUAUUUGUUAUUUUC
rnacentral:lncRNA from 1 species